GACGAACGCUGGCGGCGUGCUUAACACAUGCAAGUCGAACGGAAAGGCCCUUCUUUUGUGGGGUGCUCGAGUGGCGAACGGGUGAGUAACACGUGAGUAACCUGCCCUUGACUUUGGGAUAACUUCAGGAAACUGGGUCUAAUACCGGAUAGGAGCUCCGGCUGCAUGGUGGUGGGUGGAAAUUUUCGGCGGUUGGGGAUGGACUCGCGGCUUAUCAGCUUGUUGGUGGGGUAGUGGCUUACCAAGGCUUUGACGGGUAGCCGGCCUGAGAGGGUGACCGGCCACAUUGGGACUGAGAUACGGCCCAGACUCCUACGGGAGGCAGCAGUGGGGAAUAUUGCACAAUGGGCGGAAGCCUGAUGCAGCAACGCCGCGUGGGGGAUGACGGCCUUCGGGUUGUAAACCGCUUUCGCCUGUGACGAAGCGUGAGUGACGGUAAUGGGUAAAGAAGCACCGGCUAACUACGUG
rnacentral:rRNA from 1 species